UGUACAAUCGGCUUUGUUGGUGCUCUUGGAACAGUCCCUGUUCUGAAGUUAAACGGGAAGCUCUUUAGCGCUGCCCCCGCAACGGUACGCAGACAAGCGUCAAGCUUGGCUUUCAUCAAAAACCAUUGGGUGUUUUCAAACGCCUGAGAAGGUGGUGAGGGUAAGUCUGCCAGCCCGGAUACCGGCCAACAACGGGGUGCGCCAU
rnacentral:ncRNA from 1 species